rnacentral:rRNA from 1 species
CCUACGGGAGGCAGCAGUGGGGAAUAUUGCACAAUGGGGGAAACCCUGAUGCAGCAACGCCGCGUGAGUGAUGAAGGCCUUCGGGUUGUAAAGCUCUGUUUUCAGGGACGAUAAUAACGGUACCUGAGGAGGAAGCCACGGCUAAGCACGAGACAGCAGCCGCGGUAAUACGUAGGUGGCGAGGGUUGUCCGGAUUUACUGGGCGUAAAGGGAGCGUAGGCGGUCUUUUAAGUGAGAUGUUAAAUACUCGGGCUCAACUUGAGAGCGGCAUUUUAAACUGGAAGUCUCGAGUGCAGGAGAGGAGAAUGGAAUUCCUGGUGUAGCGGUGAAAUGCGUAGAGAUUAGGAAGAACACCGGUGGCGAAGGCGAUUCUCUGGACUGUAACUGACGCUGAGGCUCGAAAGCGUGGGGAGCAAACAGGAUUAGAUACCCGAGUAGUC